AUGUUAUCACGGGAGACACACGGCGGGUGCUAACGUCCGUCGUGAAGAGGGAAACAACCCAGACCGCCAGCUAAGGUCCCAAAGUCAUGGUUAAGUGGGAAACGAUGUGGGAAGGCCCAGACAGCCAGGAUGUUGGCUUAGAAGCAGCCAUCAUUUAAAGAAAGCGUAAUAGCUCACUGGUCGAGUCGGCCUGCGCGGAAGAUGUAACGGGGCUAAACCAUGCACCGAAGCUGCGGCAGCGACGCUGAUGCGUUGUUGGGUAGGGGAGCGUUCUGUAAGCCUGUGAAGGUGGCCUGUGAGGGUUGCUGGAGGUAUCAGAAGUGCGAAUGCUGACAUAAGUAACGAUAAAGCGGGUGAAAAGCCCGCUCGCCGGAAGACCAAGGGUUCCUGUCCAACGUUAAUCGGGGCAGGGUGAGUCGACCCCUAAGGCGAGGCCGAAAGGCGUAGUCGAUGGGAAACGGGUUAAUAUUCCCGUACUUGGUGUUACUGCGAAGGGGGGACGGAGAAGGCUAUGUUGGCCGGGCGACGGUUGUCCCGGUUUAAGCGUGUAGGUGUGUGUUCCAGGUAAAUCCGGUUCACUUUAACACUGAGGCGUGAUGACGAGGCACUACGGUGCUGAAGCAACAAAUGCCCUGCUUCCAGGAAAAGCCUCUAAGCAUCAGGUAACAUCAAAUCGUACCCCAAACCGACACAGGUGGUCAGGUAGAGAAUACCAAGGCGCUUGAGAGAACUCGGGUGAAGGAACUAGGCAAAAUGGUGCCGUAACU
rnacentral:rRNA from 1 species